rnacentral:rRNA from 1 species
GGCUCAGGAUGAACGCUAGCUACAGGCUUAACACAUGCAAGUCGAGGGGCAUCAGGAAGAAAGCUUGCUUUCUUUGCUGGCGACCGGCGCACGGGUGAGUAACACGUAUCCAACCUGCCCUUUACUCGGGGAUAGCCUUUCGAAAGAAAGAUUAAUACCCGAUAGCAUAAUGAUUCCGCAUGGUUUCAUUAUUAAAGGAUUCCGGUAAAGGAUGGGGAUGCGUUCCAUUAGGUUGUUGGUGAGGUAACGGCCCACCAAGCCUUCGAUGGAUAGGGGUUCUGAGAGGAAGGUCCCCCACAUUGGAACUGAGACACGGUCCAAACUCCUACGGGAGGCAGCAGUGAGGAAUAUUGGUCAAUGGGCGCUAGCCUGAACCAGCCAAGUAGCGUGAAGGAUGAAGGCUCUAUGGGUCGUAAACUCCUUUUAUAUAAGAAUAAAGUGCAGUAUGUAUACUGUUUUGUAUGUAUUAUAUGAAUAAGGAUCGGCUAACUCCGUGCCAGCAGCCGCGGUAAUACGGAGGAUCCGAGCGUUAUCCGGAUUUAUUGGGUUUAAAGGGAGCGUAGGUGGAUUGUUAAGUCAGUUGUGAAAGUUUGCGGCUCAACCGUAAAAUUGCAGUUGAAACUGGCAGUCUUGAGUACAGUAGAGGUGGGCGGAAUUCGUGGUGUAGCGGUGAAAUGCUUAGAUAUCACGAAGAACUCCGAUUGCGAAGGCAGCUCACUAGACUGCAACUGACACUGAUGCUCGAAAGUGUGGGUAUCAAACAGGAUUAGAUACCCUGGUAGUCCACACAGUAAACGAUGAAUACUCGCUGUUUGCGAUAUACAGUAAGCGGCCAAGCGAAAGCAUUAAGUAUUCCACCUGGGGAGUACGCCGGCAACGGUGAAACUCAAAGGAAUUGACGGGGGCCCGCACAAGCGGAGGAACAUGUGGUUUAAUUCGAUGAUACGCGAGGAACCUUACCCGGGCUUAAAUUGCAGUGGAAUGAUGUGGAAACAUGUCAGUGAGCAAUCACCGCUGUGAAGGUGCUGCAUGGUUGUCGUCAGCUCGUGCCGUGAGGUGUCGGCUUAAGUGCCAUAACGAGCGCAACCCUUAUCUUUAGUUACUAACAGGUUAUGCUGAGGACUCUGGAGAGACUGCCGUCGUAAGAUGUGAGGAAGGUGGGGAUGACGUCAAAUCAGCACGGCCCUUACGUCCGGGGCUACACACGUGUUACAAUGGGGGGUACAGAAGGCAGCUACCUGGUGACAGGAUGCUAAUCCCAAAAGCCUCUCUCAGUUCGGAUCGAAGUCUGCAACCCGACUUCGUGAAGCUGGAUUCGCUAGUAAUCGCGCAUCAGCCACGGCGCGGUGAAUACGUUCCCGGGCCUUGUACACACCGCCCGUCAAGCCAUGGGAGCCGGGGGUACCUGAAGUACGUAACCGCAAGGAUCGUCCUAGGGUAAAAC